rnacentral:rRNA from 1 species
GUGGGGAAUCUUAGACAAUGGGCGCAAGCCUGAUCUAGCCAUGCCGCGUGAGCGAUGAAGGCCUUAGGGUUGUAAAGCUCUUUCAGUGGGGAAGAUAAUGACUGUACCCACAGAAGAAGCCCCGGCUAACUCCGUGCCAGCAGCCGCGGUAAUACGGAGGGGGCUAGCGUUGUUCGGAAUUACUGUGCGUAAAGCGCACGUAGGCGGACUGGAAAGUCAGGGGUGAAAUCCCGGGGCUCAACCCCGGAACUGCCAUUGAAACUCACAGGCUUGAGGUCGAGAGAGGUGAGUAGAAUUCCGAGUGUAGAGGUGAAAUUCGUAGAUAUUCGGAGGAACACCAGUGGCGAAGGCGGCUCACUGGCUCGAUACUGACGCUGAGGUGCGAAAGCGUGGGGAGCAAACAGGAUUAGAUACCCCGGUAGUCC